rnacentral:rRNA from 1 species
GGACGAACGCUGGCGGCGUGCUUAACACAUGCAAGUCGAGCGGUAAGGCCCUUUCGGGGGUACACGAGCGGCGAACGGGUGAGUAACACGUGGGUGACCUGCCCUCAGCUCUGGGAUAAGCCUGGGAAACCGGGUCUAAUACCGGAUAUGACUCCAUGACGCAUGUUGUGGGGUGGAAAGCCUUGUGCGGCUGAGGAUGGGCCCGCGGCCUAUCAGCUUGUUGGUGGGGUGAGGCCUACCAAGGCGACGACGGGUAGCCGGCCUGAGAGGGCGACCGGCCACACUGGGACUGAGACACGGCCCAGACUCCUACGGGAGGCAGCAGUGGGGAAUCUUGCGCAAUGGGCGAAAGCCUGACGCAGCGACGCCGCGUGAGGGAUGACGGCCU